UUCGCAAUGCCCGAAAGGGUGACGAAGCGACGCCGCGUGAGCGAAGAAGGCCUUAGGGUUGUAGAGCUCUGUCGAGGGUUAUGAAAUAUAGAUGGGUUAAUACCCCAUUUAUUUGACAAAAGCCCAAAAGGAAGCCACGGCUAACUCUGUGCCAGCAGCCGCGGUAAUACAGAGGUGGCGAGCGUUGCUCGGUAUUAUUGGGCGUAAAGAGCACGUAGGUGGUUUUGUAAGUCAGGUGUGAAAGCCUUCUGUUCAAAGGAAGAACGGCAUCUGAAACUGCAGAUCUUGAGUGUAGGAGGGGAGAGUGGAACUUCUGGUGGAGCGGUGAAAUGCGUAGAUAUCAGAAGGAACGUCGGCGGCGAAAGCGACUCUCUGGCCUAUUACUGACACUGAGGUGCGAAAGUUAGGGGAGCAAACGGGAUUAGAUACCCCGGUAGUCCUAACCGUAAACGAUGGGCACUAAGUAGAGGGGUUUU
rnacentral:rRNA from 1 species